rnacentral:tRNA from 1 species
GGGCGUAUAGCUCAGUGAUACAGUGUAUGUUUAGCAUGCAUGAAGUCCUGGGUUCAAUCCCCAGUACCUCCU